UGAGGAUCCAGGUCCUGCCGCUCUCCCCCGACAUCUUGCGCAAGUUGCUCCGUCGGCUGACUAGUGGCGAUCCUAAUGAGCUUCCCCAGAAUGGCCUCCCAUUGUAUAACUUCAAGGCCCCGGAAGCUCUCGUCGCGGGGAUGCCGCUCUUCGAUGAGUGGGGGUUCCUCCGUGGAGGGGACGUGUGCCCCCGGAGGGCCUCGACCCUUGGGGUUCAUGCCCACAAAAACUCUUGUCGUGCCGCCCCUCCCACAGCUGAGGUGGGAGGUGUAUAGCCGCCCGCUCCCCGGGGGUGCGCGUCCUGAGAUCACCGAGAAUCUUGUGGUUUCUUCCCCCGCACCCACUGGGGUUCAACCUCUUGAGUC
rnacentral:lncRNA from 1 species